rnacentral:rRNA from 1 species
GGGUGAAAUUCAAUUACUUGUGAGUAAUUUAAUGUGAGAUGUAAUUAUUUUGAAGCUAUUAAGUCUCAGGCAUAAAAUAGGAUUAGAUACCCUUUUAUACUUAGAUGAAAAUUAAGGGCUUGAGUAGUAAACAGUUAUAUUCUUUAAACUUAAAGGAUUUGGCGGUAUUUUAGUCUUGUUAGAGGAACCUGUUCUAUAAACGAUAUUCCCCGAAGAAUCUUACUCUUUUUUGUGUUUCAGUUUGUAUACCGCCAUUAUUAGAUAGUUUCAUAAGAAUCUAUUUUAAUAGUCUUGAAUUAGUAUAUUAGGUCAAGGUGCAGCUAAUGAAAGAGAAAGUAAUGGGUUACAAUAGAAUGUGUUUACACGGAUGUGCUGAGUAUUUUUGGCUUUGAAGGUGGAUUUAAUAGUAAAGCUGUUUUAAUACGGCAGUUUGGUAUUGGCUCUAAGAUAUGUA